rnacentral:rRNA from 1 species
CCAGGCUCGAAAUGUAAUAGACGUACCCAAGAGAUGGUUAUUUCCGCAAGGACUUGUUAUAUAGGUGCUGCAUGGCUGUCGUCAGCUCGUGCCGUGAGGUGUUUGGUUAAGUCCAGCAACGAGCGCAACCCUUAUCAUUAGUUGCCAACGCGUCAAGGCGGGGACUCUAGUGAGACUGCCUGGGUUACCAGGAGGAAGGUGAGGAUGACGUCAAGUCCGCAUGGCCUUUAUGUCUGGGGCUACACACGUGCUACAAUGGUCGGUACAGAAGGCAGCAAGACCGCAAGGUGGAGCAAAUCCGUAAAGCCGAUCUCAGUUCAGAUUGUAGUCUGCAACUCGACUACAUGAAGUUGGAAUUGCUAGUAAUGACGUGUCAGCAACAACGUCGUGAAUACGUUCCCGGGCCUUGUACACACCGCCCGUCACAUCAUGGGAGUUGGUUUUACCCGAAGUCGAUGACUUAAGCCGCAAGGCAGAGAGUCGCCUAAGGUAAGGCUGAUGACUGGGAUG